CGGCCCGCUUCCUCCUGUGAAGACGUAGCUGCGGGUGGCUGUGGUGGCGGCGUCCAAGAUGUCCACCAAGAAUUUCCGAGUCAGUGACGGUGACUGGAUUUGCCCUGACAAAAAAUGUGGAAAUGUAAACUUUGCUAGAAGAACUAGCUGUAAUAGAUGUGGUCGAGAGAAAACAACUGAGGCUAAGAUGAUGAAAGCUGGAGGCACUGAAAUAGGAAAGACACUCGCAGAAAAGAGCCGAGGCUUGUUUAGCGCUAAUGACUGGCAGUGUAAAACUUGCAGUAAUGUGAAUUGGGCCAGAAGAUCAGAAUGUAACAUGUGUAAUACUCCAAAGUAUGCUAAGCUGGAAGAAAGAACAGAAACAAAAGGAAAUUCUUAUGUAUUACGAUUGGCGUCUAUUUCGUCUCUGGAACAAGGAUAUGGUGGUGGUUUUAAUGAAAGAGAAAAUGUUGAAUAUAUAGAAAGAGAAGAAUCUGAUGGUGAAUAUGAUGAGUUUGGACGUAAAAAGAAAAAGUACAGAGGGAAGGCAGUUGGUCCUGCAUCUAUUUUAAAGGAAGUUGAAGAUAAAGAAUCUGAGGGAGAAGAAGAGGAUGAGGAUGAAGAUCUUUCUAAAUAUAAAUUAGAUGAGGAUGAAGAUGAAGAUGAUGCUGAUCUCUCAAAAUAUAAUCUUGAUGCCAGUGAAGAAGAAGAUAGUAAUAAAAAGAAAUCUAAUAGACGAAGUCGCUCAAAGUCUCGGUCUUCACAUUCACGAUCUUCAUCACGCUCAUCCUCCCCCUCCAGUUCAAGGUCUAGGUCCAGGUCCCGUUCAAGAAGUUCUUCCAGUUCGCAGUCAAGAUCUCGUUCCAGUUCCAGAGAACAUUCGAGAUCUCGUGGGUCGAAAUCAAGAUCCAGCUCCAGGUCCCACAGGGGCUCUUCUUCCCCACGAAAAAGAUCUUACUCAAGUUCAUCAUCUUCUCCUGAGAGGAACAGAAAGAGAAGUCGUUCUAGAUCUUCUUCAUCUGGUGAUCGCAAAAAAAGACGAACAAGAUCACGGUCACCUGAAAGGUUUGGGUUUCUGUAGAAAUAAGAGUGGGUGUUCUUAAGUGUGUUUAGUAACUGAACUUAGUAAAGGAUUAGAUUUUCAUUAUCUCCUUUGUUCCCACUUCAGAUUAUUCUUUUCAACUUUGAACUUCAAAAAGCAGAUAAUUACUUUGUUCAUCCUAUGUGCUUUGAUCAGGUUGUUUAGAAAAGUUGUAGAUCAAACCACUCUCUUCCACUAUCUGACGAUUUUGUUUAAAUUUUUAUUUUUAUGCAUAAUUAUUAUAGCCAACUCUCGGUUAUUUCUGUCUCUUAAGAUUUUAAUUCAGAAGCUGUGUGUUGAUGUAAUUUAGAAGUUGAUUUUUAUAAGUAUUAAUUUAUGCUAUAUUAGAAACCGUAGGAUUCUAGGGCAUCUAAUAAGAAAAUAUAGAUCACUGGAAAUCUGUCCUAAUUUAAAUAUGUAUAAAUGCAUUUCCACAACAAAUUAUUGUUCCGUGCCCUUUAUAAGGAAAUUGUUCUUGUAGCUAAUACAUUUUUCAUCUUUCAAUCUGAAUCCAUUUUUUGCAGAGAAAGACUUUUGCUAGAUUACUUUAUGUUGACAUUUUUAAAAGUUGGAGAGUGUGUCAUCUGUCAGCCUUUUCUGCAGCAGGCUAAUUAUUCAGUUUUAUUAUUUUUCUCUUGGUUCUCAAUGUCUAAUUAUAUAGUCAUUUUAAUGGCUUCCUUAAUAAUCUUUGCAAAUUUUUAUAUCCUUUCAUCUUGUGAAAGUAAGGAUUAGAUAAAGUCUGGUUUUUGCUGUGUUCAGUGCUAAGAUUACCUCUAUUUGUACAUAAUGAUUCGUUUUGCUUCUUCCCAUUUUAAAGUUUAGAUAUUAAAGGUUACACACAACUAGUCUCAUUUCUGUGCAUUUGUUCCUUUGUAAGAAAAUUACUCCAUACUUCAGUGAAACUCAUUCUGUUGCCUUUUUACCACGUCUGCAAAUUUUUAUCUUAGCCACAUAUAAUCCCCCCACUUUGUUGUCAUCUAAACUUAAUGAACAUGUUCUCUAUUCCAUAAGCCAGGUGAUUGGUGAAAACACUAAACAACCCUGAGCCCAGGGCCAACCCCUCGGAACACCACUACUUUACCCAGGCACCACAGGUCACCUUCUGGAUCAUCCCAUUCUGGUUCCCGUUCAAGUUCAAAAAAGAAAUAAUGUAUUAAAUUUACAUCUUUAAAAAAAAAAAAAGUCCAGUACAAUGCAUGAAGCAUAUUUUUUAAGAAGUUGGUGUCUUACUUGGUCAGAAGUGCUAAAUCUGCUAGUAGAGGUGCAUGCCUUUCAUUGCUUUUCAGAACAAUACAGCUGUGUUUAUUUGUGAAAUUAAAAGUAAAUAGUAUUUUAAGCCAUAAUGUCCCAAAAUAGACGCUUUGUUUAUCAUUCAUUAUUUACAACCAUUAGCUUCAUUUAAAAACCAUCUCUGCUAUAACAAAGUACUUUGUUUUCUAAUUUGAACUCUUGUUUUUCUCAUCUCCAAAUAUGAGCAUUACCUAGGCUUAUCUGGACUUUGGGCAUGGAGGCAAGACUGUGGUAAAGUAGUUGGAAACAAUCUAUUUAUGUUAAUCUGGGAAAAGGAGUCAACCUGUUUAUGUUAACCUAUGUCGAAGUGAUUCUUAUUAAAAAAAAGUUUAACUAGUUGUAAAACAGUCAACUGGAAACUAUUUUGAAAUUCCCUAUGUUAAGGGUGCCUUAGAAUCAUUGUCUCUCUUUUAUCCAGUUUUACUUUUUGCACCACCAAGCUUAAUGCAGAAAAGUUUUGUGAAUUGGAGAGGACAAAGGUGUUAUUUAUUUCUCCCUUUCUGAGAAGAAAGGGGGAAAUUUUGAGCAAGAAUGCCUAGCAGUUCAUCUCUUCUCUGCUAAUAUGGUUGAUGAGAAAAACAUCUUAUUUUAAAAUGUUUAAUAUUUUUAGAAGCUUUGUGUGAUAUCCUUUAAAAAUCCAGUUAUCACACGAUAGGGUAGAGAAAGUUAAAUCGUAGUUAAUGGUAAACAAAUCGAAGAACACUUUUGAAGUAUAUUUGUCUUUGGGUGAAAGACCAACAGAGACAUUGUGAAUUUAAGUGAACAUUUGCUUUGAGAUGUUUAAACACACUGCAUAAAAUUUUCUUCUG